UUGUUGGAGAGUUUGAUCCUGGCUCAGGACGAACGCUGGCGGCGUGCUUAACACAUGCAAGUCGAA
rnacentral:rRNA from 1 species